rnacentral:lncRNA from 1 species
AAAAAUUAAGAAUCUUGCUAAGAUACAAGUCACUAAAGUACAAGCCUUGCUAAGAUCCUAGCUAGCUCUUAGAUGAUAGUUUCAAAAUCUCAUUACUUGUUAAAUCUAACAAGUCAUGUCAAUACAUGGGAAAUUAAAGAACUCUCUUUUGAGAAGAAGACUACACGAUUUUUCAUGGCUUAGUCAAACCAAGAACAAGAAAUUCUUGAAAAUCUAAAAGCUUCAUCUAUAAAUACUAGGUUGUUCACUCUCAAACCAAAACCUUCCUUUCUCACCCAUUCCUACUAUCGUCAAAAUGGAUUCUUAUGAUCCAGAUUGGAAAAAGGUGAUGGAUAUCAUCACAGGGAAGAAGCAAGUAAGUCAAUCUGAGAUAACUACUCACCUGUUUAAAGAGAUCGAUGAGGCAAAAUCAAGGAUUAAAGUGCUGGAAUCAAGUAUUAAAAACCAAGGAGUUCUGAUCGCAGACUUGCAAUAUCAAAUCGAGAUGUUAAAAGUUCCCACUGAGGAAGCUAACACCAUCAACCAUGGUGGUGAUUAGCUUGCUAUGCCUACUCGAUGCUAUCUGAUUUAGAUGUUCCUUUUUAGUUUGAUCGAUGGUACAACAUCUGUUUCUACUUUGUUUAAGUCUGUUGUGUUUAAAGUCUAACCAUAGACCUAAGCUUGCUUUAUUGUUAGUGA